GUGGGGAAUAUUGGACAAUGGGCGAAAGCCUGAUCCAGCCAUGCCGCGUGUGUGAAGAAGGUCUUCGGAUUGUAAAGCACUUUAAGUUGGGAGGAAGGGCAGUAAGUUAAUACCUUGCUGUUUUGACGUUACCGACAGAAUAAGCACCGGCUAACUUCGUGCCAGCAGCCGCGGUAAUACGAAGGGUGCAAGCGUUAAUCGGAAUUACUGGGCGUAAAGCGCGCGUAGGUGGUUUUGUAAGUUGGAGGUGAAAUCCCCGGUCUCAACCUGGGAACUGCUUUCAAAACUGCUGAGCUAGAGUACGGUAGAGGGUGGUGGAAUUUCCUGUGUAGCGGUGAAAUGCGUAGAUAUAGGAAGGAACACCAGUGGCGAAGGCGACCACCUGGACUGAUACUGACACUGAGGUGCGAAAGCGUGGGGAGCAAACAGGAUUAGAUACCCCUGUAGUCC
rnacentral:rRNA from 1 species